rnacentral:lncRNA from 1 species
AUCAAGCAAAUUAGUACAAUCUCCUAGCUAUAAAUAAGCACCUCCCAUUAGUCCUAAUUACGAAUUAACUCAUUCCCUCCUGCAAAUAACCAAAAAAUACUAAUCUUAGCUUAAAAAUGUCUCUGUUUUCAAGUAUUUUCAGCUGCUUCUUCAUCCAAACCUCUUCUUCUUCCUCGCGGAUAAACGAUAUUAGUGUAUCCUCUGCAAAUCCACCUUCUAUAAUGGAGAAAUCCGAAUUACGCAAGGCGAAAUCGAAAGGGGCACCGAUAAUAGUUUCUUAUUUUCCCGUUGGCUCAAAUCUCUCGCGAUUAUAGAGUACUUACAUUAGAUUGUCGAUCAGUUGUAUUUCCGGCUUAAUUCUGGAUGGUAACAACUUUGAAGAUGAGCUUAAUUUUCUAGCAAAAAUCAAGGCGAAAAUGCAGCGUGUUCUUCUUAAUGAAAAGUUUCGCCUCACAUAAAUAGUAAAUAAGACUCACGUUCAGCUUGCUUGGAGAGGGGAUGGUAUGUGAUGGAAGCCAAAAAUUAAAGACUAAAAUAAAGGCAUAUAUUGUCGUCCUACUCUCUUUGUUUUCGUGCCGUGGAUAUUGUAUUCGAUCUGUUGUUUAAGUGGCUUAAUUUCCUACGGCCUCAUACUGUUAUGUAAAUUUAUCAAAUAAUUAGUGCUACCUCGUGUUGUUGUGUUUCAUCUUUAUGGUGGUAUGGUAUGUUUAAGUUUGAAUUUGUCCUCACG